rnacentral:rRNA from 1 species
UGGUGGAGUGAUUUGUCUGCUUAAUUGCGAUAACGAACGAGACCUUAACCUGCUAAAUAGCCCGUAUUGCUUUGGCAGUACGCCGGCUUCUUAGAGGGGCUAUCGGCUCAAGCCGAUGGAAGUUUGAGGCAAUAACA